GAGACAAGAAGGCAUCUUCUUGUUUUUAAAAGACCUAGCAAUAGGUAUGCUUAGGGAGGAGCUUGCGUCACAUUAGUUAGUUGGUGGGGUAAAGGCCUACCAAGACUAUGAUGUGUAGCCGGGCUGAGAGGUUGAACGGCCACAUUGGGACUGAGACACGGCCCAAACUCCUACGGGAGGCAGCAGUAGGGAAUUUUCGGCAAUGGAGGAAACUCUGACCGAGCAACGCCGCGUGAACGAUGAAGUAUUUCGGUACGUAAAGUUCUUUUAUUAGGGAAGAAUAAAUGAUGGAAAAAUCAUUCUGACGGUACCUAAUGAAUAAGCCCCGGCUAACUAUGUGCCAGCAGCCGCGGUAAUACAUAGGGGGCAAGCGUUAUCCGGAAUUAUUGGGCGUAAAGGGUGCGUAGGCGGUUAAAUAAGUUUAUGGUCUAAGUGCAAUGCUCAACAUUGUGAUGCUAUAAAAACUGUUUAGCUAGAGUAAGAUAGAGGCAAGUGGAAUUCCAUGUGUAGUGGUAAAAUGCGUAAAUAUAUGGAGGAACACCAGUAGCGAAGGCGGCUUGCUGGGUCUUUACUGACGCUGAGGCACGAAAGCGUGGGGAGCAAACAGGAUUAGAUACCCUGGUAGUCCACGCCGUAAACGAUGAGUACUAAACGUUGGGUAAAACCAGUGUUGAAGUUAACACAUUAAGUACUCCGCCUGAGUAGUACGUACGCAAGUAUGAAACUUAAAGGAAUUGACGGGACUCCGCACAAGCGGUGGAUCAUGUUGUUUAAUUCGAAGGUACCCGAAAAACCUCACCAGGUCUUGACAUGCUUCUGCAAAGCUGUAGAAACACAGUGGAGGUUAUCAGUUGCACAGGUGGUGCAUGGUUGUCGUCAGCUCGUGUCGUGAGAUGUUGGGUUAAGUCCCGCAACGAGCGCAACCCUUAUUGUUAGUUACCAGCACGUAAUGGUGGGGACUUUAGCAAGACUGCCAGUGAUAAAUUGGAGGAAGGUGGGGACGACGUCAAAUCAUCAUGCCCCUUAUGACCUGGGCUACAAACGUGAUACAAUGGCUGUUACAAAGGGUAGCUGAAGCGCAAGUUUUUGGCGAAUCUCAAAAAAACAGUCUCAGUUCGGAUUGAAGUCUGCAACUCGACUUCAUGAAGUUGGAAUCGCUAGUAAUCGCGAAUCAGCAUGUCGCGGUGAAUACGUUCUCGGGGUUUGUACACACCGCCCGUCAAACCACGAAAGUUGGUAAUACCCAAAG
rnacentral:rRNA from 2 species